CAUCUCUCUGUGUAGUUAGGAUUCACCUUGCAUGCCUGAUUUUCCUAUCUCUGCCUCUCCAGCACUGGGAUUNCAUGCAUUUAUAUGAUCCCUGCAACCUCCUCUGUGGGUUCAUACUGAAUAGUGAGAACUACAAUCCCACUGACGUCACUACUCUGCAGUAGAGGCCACUGUCCACAGGUCCUGCCACAUUUGCCUGUCUAGAACUUUCUGUCUGCUCAAUCCUCAGAGAAGAUGUCCUAGUGGACUUUCCGGCUGACACUGGGAAUGAGUGUGCCAGGCAGACAUGCAGUCCCACUAUCCUGUUUGUCCCCAGAGGGAUGGCACACAAGGAGGCAAGAGAUUUGNCUGAGGUUGGAUAGGACCUGGCACUCACUAAGGUCUUGUUACAGACACCUACAAUCUCCUCUCUAAGAAGGCUUCCAUCAUGUUUGCAAGUGCCACCNCUCACCAUGAUAUGGGCUAGGAAGAAAAUCCAUGACCAGGNCUUAGUGUGGCCAUGUGGCUUAUAGGCUGUCAGACANCUGUCCUCAUGCCCCUAGGGACCUGAGUGAAGCAGAGUGAUAGAGGCUUCAGUGGGUAGCAGACAAUGUGGAGGUUGCAGAAACUGUCUUGUGUUUCUAUCCUUUNUUCCAGUCACAGGUUCCAGCCUUGAGAGUGGUAGAGAUAUCCUGGAGUCCCCCACAUCCUCAGUGGAGCACACUCAGCCCAGUGUGACCACAGAUGACACAAUUCCUGCUCCCUGCCCUCAGCCUCGGUCUCUUCGGAGCAGCCUCUACUUCUGGGUCCUGGUGUCUCUGAAGUUGUUCCUGUUCCUGAGCAUGCUUGGUGCUGUCCUCUGGGUAAAUUUGCCUCAGAAGUGCUCUGGGGGAAGCAGCACUCAGCCCUGUUAUGAGAACCAGUGAAGUCUGUUGACAUCAAGGCCCUGUCCCUUGACACAGCUCCUCUGGUGGCUGAGGACAGCCAGUAAAUACAUAUUUCUUGAGAAUGCUCUGAGACUUUUAGAAGAUUCUUUGUGGUGUGUCAAAAACACAAAAGAAUUUACCAAAUAAAUACGUAUAUAUUUAAAUGA